CCCCUGUGCGAAAUAAUUUUAAACGUGUGAUUAGUUUUGCGCGUGGGGUAGAAAAAGAUGUGGCCCUUGCUUUGUGUAUUACUCGUGCCCCACUUCAAAGCAAAGCGUUCGUACGCACUGGAAGAUGGAUCCACGAAGGCUGAAACGAGAAGUUGCAACGUGCCCGGUCGGUAGUACUGGCAUGAUGGAAAUUUUCAGCGAGUGUUCCCGCCUGAAAGCCGAGUUUGGUUUCAAGCCACCCUGGACAACUACUGUAUGAGGCGCCGUUUCUCGGGAGGACCAGUGGGAAGGCGCCAGGUGUCGUGCAGAUGGUAGCAGCAAUUUCACAAUGCCCAGCCUUGGCGCCCCCCCAUUAAGAGCAAGCCACUUGCGUUCGCCUUCAGACAGAUGGUUAAUGUCUUCUUGAAAGCGGUUGAGAAGACAACAUUGAUGCAAGAUUCCAGCAAUGCCAUGCGCUGCACUUAUUGGUCAAGAUGCUCAGAGAAUGGAGUCCCUGCACCUCGUGGUUAACCGUGAACAUUUCUUUUUCUUUUGGAAAGCUAAAGGCCAUUUGCUGCAUCACUUGCAUUCUUGCAGCUCAGAUGUGUACUAUAUUUUUCUAAUUUUGAAUCAAUAUUGGCUGUUCAGUAUAAAAAAUGACGUACAGCGUGAAGGACAAGGACUGUGAGAGACACACUCCACUGACUUUCAACAAUAUUUUAUUGCUUUGCCACAUCGUGUGUGUAUACACAAGAGGGGUCAUGCGCAGAAAAUGAAAGCCAGUAACAAGGGGUGUUCUAACAGCAAGUCAUUGUAAAAAGAACAUGGUCACUUGAAAAAAAAAACAUCACAAUUUCUAUCUGUAUAGAUACAAAAUUUCA